CCGGACGGAGCCUCAGCUCCCCACGGAAGCCGCGAGCCGGCACAGGGCCUCGGCCUCGAUUUUCAGCAGCCCACCGCCGUCCGGUACCGGGCAGCCCACCGCCGUCCGGUACCGGAGCGCAGCCGGAAGUGACUGCUCUAUUUCCGGCCUAGGCGCUACGGUGGCCGAGCGAGCGCAGAUCUCGCAGGAGCGUUCCCGAACUCGCGACGACACAUUUCCUUUCUGUCGCUGCCUGCGCCAGCCGCGGCGCUAGCGAUUCGCUCCCGCCUUCAUUCGGGAAAAGCCACGAAUGGAAUGAGCGCCUGGCGUGUGCUAGCCUUAAGAAGCCCCUCUAACGCCUGUCACGGACACGUCCUCAUAGUUCUGCGUCUGCCACAGGAGUCAGCCUGCAAUUUCAUUCCGCAGGUAAGGUGGACUCAGGUUUUCUACCCCAGACUGUCCAUAACAUAUGUUGCUUAAGCAGAGGAGUUUGAGACCCAGGCUCGACAGAGUAAAUAGCCAGGCGUGGUAGCGCACAUCUGUGAUGCCAGCACUCAGGAAGCUGAGGUAGGAGGAUCACCAUGGGUUCAAGGCCAGCCUGAACUACACAGCACGACUCUGUCUCCAAAAAGUGAGUGAAU
rnacentral:lncRNA from 1 species